rnacentral:misc_RNA from 1 species
UAGCUCUUUGAUCGAUCCUCAUAAGAAAAAAAGAAAAAAAAUUCUAACUCGCUCCCACGGUCUCAUUUCUGAACUCUCUCCCGCCAAAACAUAUCUGUACGUUCGUGGAAGUCUUGGGAUUCUCAAAAUGUUUUCAUUUCUUAGAUAGGACCUAUAGUUUUUGAGUUACAAGCAUUUGUUUGAAGAGUGGCGCUAGAGCAGCACCCUCUAACUUUUGAAUGGACUUCAAUGGAGAUCACCAAAAAAGAUUCCUGAUGAGAAAACUAAAUUUCUAAAUCGCUCUUACGGUCUCAUUUCUUAACUCUUAUGAAAUAUAAACAUAUGUGGACGUCGGCCAAAGUCUUGUGAUUCUCACAAUGUGUUCAUUUCUCAGAUACGACUUAUAGAUUUUGAGUUAGAAGCUUUUGUUUGAGGGUUGGUCUGAAACCAGUUUUUGUCUCCAAAGUGUGCGCGCAGCAGGUGUUCCUCAUCUAAUCAGUGAGUAACCAUAGCAACCCCAUAGACUGUCAGAGGUCAAGUCUCCUCUAUAAAUUUACUAGAUUCAAAGUUUUUGCCACCAUCCGCUUUGGCCCAGUGGUUAAGGCACUCGGAUCAUGUGACGUGAGUCUGGGUUCGAAUCCGGGUGAGGGUGGUGGUUUUUGCUAAAUUUUGG